UCCGCUACUAGAAAAGCGAAACUUUUAAAAUAUGACGUUAAUCGUUCCAAUUUUUAGUGUUUGAUUCUCCAUAUCAAUCCUUUCGGUAAAACGCGCUAUCAAUCGACUAAUUUGCUUUCGCGUCUCGAUUACUAUUAAUUUUACCUUCUUCUUUUUUACCCCGCGAAUCAACGGGAGCAAUUUCAUUCAGCUGCAGAGUCCGACGAGUUAUAAUUGUAUGGGGAG
rnacentral:lncRNA from 1 species